rnacentral:rRNA from 1 species
GAUGAACGCUGACAGAAUGCUUAACACAUGCAAGUCGAUGGGGAAGUGGUGCUUGCACCAUGGUAACCAUGGCGGACGGGUGAGUAACGCGUAAGGAACUUGCCUGCGGGACUGGGAUAACAGCAGGAAACUGCUGAUAAUACCGGAUAAGGUCAUUAAGCUGCAUAGCUUAGUGAUGAAAGGAGACGCCUGCGGAGAGCCUUGCGUCCUAUUAGCUAGUUGGAGGGGUAACGGCCCACCAAGGCGAAGAUAGGUAGCCGGCCUGAGAGGGUGGACGGCCACAAGGGGACUGAGAUACGGCCCUUACCCCUACGGGAGGCAGCAGUGGGGAAUAUUGGACAAUGGGGGCAACCCUGAUCCAGCAAUUCUGUGUGCACGAAGACGGUUUUCGGAUUGUAAAGUGCUUUCAGCAGGGAAGAAGGAAGUGACGGUACCUGCAGAAGAAGCGACGGCUAAAUACGG